AGAGUUUGAUCCUGGCUCAGAACGAACGCUGGCGGCGUGCCUAACACAUGCAAGUCGAACGGAAUUAAGGGGCUUGCUCCUUAAUUUAGUGGCGCACGGGUGAGUAACGCGUGGAUAACCUACCCUGGUAUCCGGGAUAACAUCUCGAAAGGGGUGCUAAUACGGGAUAAGCCCACGGGGUCUUCGGACUCUGCGGGAAAAGGUGGCCUCUAUUUAUAAGCUACCGUAUCAUGAUGGGUCCGCGUACCAUUAGCUAGUUGGUGGGGUAAAGGCCUACCAAGGCGACGAUGGUUAGCUGGUCUGAGAGGAUGAUCAGCCACACUGGAACUGAGACACGGUCCAGACUCCUACGGGAGGCAGCAGUGGGGAAUUUUGCGCAAUGGGGGAAACCCUGACGCAGCAACGCCGCGUGAGUGAUGAAGGCCUUCGGGUCGUAAAGCUCUGUCAGAGGGAAAGAAGUGUAUGGUGGUUAAUACCCAUCUUACUUGACGGUACCCUCAAAGGAAGCACCGGCUAACUCCGUGCCAGCCAGCCGCGGUAAUACGGAGGGUGCAAGCGUUGUUCGGAUUUAUUGGGCGUAAAGCGCGUGUAGGCGGCUCCUUAAGUCUGAUGUGAAAGCCCCGGGCUCAACCUGGGAAGUGCAUUGGAAACUGGGGAACUUGAAUACGGGAGAGGGUAGUGGAAUUCCUGGUGUAGGAGUGAAAUCCGUAGAUAUCAGGAGGAACACCGGUGGCGAAGGCGGCUGCCUGGACCGAUAUUGACGCUGAGACGCGAAAGCGUGGGGAGCAAACAGGAUUAGA
rnacentral:rRNA from 1 species